rnacentral:rRNA from 1 species
GCCGCGGUAAUACGUAGGGUGCGAGCGUUGUCCGGAAUUACUGGGCGUAAAGGGCUCGUAGGUGGUUUGUCGCGUCGUCUGUGAAAUUCUGGGGCUUAACUCCGGGCGUGCAGGCGAUACGGGCAUAACUUGAGUGCUGUAGGGGUAACUGGAAUUCCUGGUGUAGCGGUGAAAUGCGCAGAUAUCAGGAGGAACACCGAUGGCGAAGGCAGGUUACUGGGCAGUUACUGACGCUGAGGAGCGAAAGCAUGGGUAGCGAAC